UACCAUGUGUGGACACAGCAAGAAGGCAGCAUCUAUAAGCUAGGAAGGAGGCCCUCACCAGACUUGGAAUCUGCUGGCUUCCUGAUCUUGGCCUUUCUAGCCUCCAGAACUUAUUAUAAACUCCUUCAGGUAAGCAGCUCUGCUUACUCAUCUCGUACUCCUGCCUAGUAAGAGCCCAGAAAACCUUCAGCUCUCAAUACAUUCUGAAUAAAAUUUCCAACGGAAAGAGUAAAGAAGAUUCCAUCUUGAAACUAGAAUGAGGUGAAGCCAGAAAGGAAGAGUCAUAAUCAAAGAAGAGAGUGAUCAAGAAUCCAAAAUAGACAGAGAGAGCAGGCUCUUAGAGAAAUGGGAGAACUACCGCACUGACUCUGCACGUAGGAGACAGGCAGGAGAGGAGCGCCCCAGCCAGAGCUCAACAUGCGCAAACAGGAAGUGUGUCCGAGGUUUUCUGGAGCUCACAGGAGCCGGGGACCCACAGCCAGACGUUUAUCUGAAAGAAAAGCAGACAAGACAAACUAAAUCAGCAACCAUCCCUUUGGAUGCCAGCUGACCUCGGAUGGAGAUUUAGUGCUAGAUGUAAAAGGCUUUGUUUACAGACAAUUAAAAACCACAUAAAUUUAAAUUGUCAAAGAAGAAAUGGUUUCCAAAGCUUCUAACAGCCUGGUAGCCCCUCCUCAGCCCUGUGCAGGAAAGGCCCAGAGGCAAAUACAAAGCCACCAACCCAAAUGCCUGUGGAGUUUGCCAGAAAGCCAGAUCCUGCUGCUUCUGCUGCUUGUUACUGAUGUUGAAAAAUAAAAUCUUAUACAGCUUCAAA
ensembl:lncRNA LINC00331 long intergenic non-protein coding RNA 331